UACAGAGGUCCCGAGCGUUGUUCGGAUUCACUGGGCGUAAAGGGUGCGCAGGUGGUUUGCAAGUUCGAUGUGAAAGCCCCGGGCUUAACCUGGGAAUGGCAUUGGAUACUGCAGAUCUGGAGGAUCGGAGGGGGGACUGGAAUUCUUGGUGUAGCAGUGAAAUGCGUAGAUAUCAAGAGGAACACCAGUGGCGAAGGCGAGUCCCUGGACGAUACCUGACACUGAGGCACGAAAGCUAGGGGAGCAAACAGG
rnacentral:rRNA from 1 species